rnacentral:rRNA from 1 species
UUCCCCUAGUAACUGCGAGUGAAGCGGGAAAAGCUCAAAAUUUAAAUCUGGCGGUCUUUGGCCGUCCGAGUUGUAGUCUGGAGAAGUGCUUUCGGCGCUGGACCGUGUACAAGUCUCUUGGAACAGAGCGUCAUAGAGGGUGAGAAUCCCGUCUUUGACACGGACUACCAGUGCUUUGUGAUGCGCUCUCAAAGAGUCGAGUUGUUUGGGAAUGCAGCUCAAAAUGGGUGGUAAAUUCCAUCUAAAGCUAAAUAUUGGCGAGAGACCGAUAGCGAACAAGUACCGUGAGGGAAAGAUGAAAAGCACUUUGGAAAGAGAGUUAAACAGUACGUGAAAUUGCUGAAAGGGAAACGCUUGACGUCAGUCGCGUUGGCCAGGACUCAGCCUUGCUUUUCGCUUGGUGCAUUUUCUGGUUGACGGGCCAGCAUCGAUUUUGACCACUGGAAAAAGGCUAGGGGAAUGUGGCACCUUCGGGUGUGUUAUAGCCCUUAGUCACAUACAGUGGUUGGGAUCGAGGACCGCAGCACGCCUUUAUGGCCGGGGUUCGCCCACGUUCGUGCUUAGGAUGCUGGCGUAAUGGCUUUAAACG